UACGAAGGGGCUAGCGUUGCUCGGAAUCACUGGGCGUAAAGGGUGCGUAGGCGGGUCUUAAGUCAGGGGUGAAAUCCUGGAGCUCAACUCCAGAACUGCCUUUGAUACUGAGGAUCUUGAGUUCGGGAGAGGUGAGUGGAACUGCGAGUGUAGAGGUGAAAUUCGUAGAUAUUCGCAAGAACACCAGUGGCGAAGGCGGCUCACUGGCCCGAUACUGACGCUGAGGCACGAAAGCGUGGGGAGCAAACAGGG
rnacentral:rRNA from 1 species